rnacentral:rRNA from 6 species
UCCGACCUCAGAUCAGACGAGACUACCCGCUGAAUUUAAGCAUAUCACUAAGCGGAGGAAAAAAAACU